rnacentral:lncRNA from 1 species
AAUUUCAUAAUUAUUUUAAAUUUUAAAUUUUUAAAAUUUAAAUUAUUUUUAAAAUUAAAAUAUCAAAUUUUAAAUUUUGUACAAUUUUGAAAUUUAAAAGUUUUAAUUUUAAUUCAAAUUUAAAUUUAGAUUUUAAAUUAUUUUAAAAUAAUAUUUAAGAAAAAUAUUAAUUUAUGCCAACAUUAAAAAAAAUUUGUCAAACAGUUUUUCAAAAUCACUUCAGAAAAAUUAUUUUUAUUUAAAUUACGCCAAACUGUCACGGGUCGAUCGUUGGGACUCGACCGUGACACCUUUGGGGGCCAUAUUUGGUAGGCACUUCGGUUGACGAAGUUAUGGAGUUGCGGAAUUGAGGCGUUCCGUCAGGUAUGAGUCGCUGUCAAGUCAACGGAGGCAAUUCCCUAG